rnacentral:misc_RNA from 1 species
UUAAAGUUUUCCUAUGAAAUUUCACUUUCAAUUAUCGUUACCAACACUUAAAUAUAUUUUUUCCAUCAAGAUAAUUUGGCAACUUUUAUUACUCAGAUCAACCCGCUAAGUUAACACAGGUUAGCAAAAAUCAGAUGGGUUGCAUGAUUUAUAAUGAGUCAAUUCCUUAUCUAAUUUAAUGACAAACUUAGACUAAUAUAUCGUUUGUAGUCAACUAUUCACUGAAUCAAUCCAACAAACUAAUUUGAAUUUAAUAGUAUUAGUAUUUUCUUUUAUUGGCUUCAAAUAAGUACUUGUGCUUGAUGUGCAUUCUUGACCACAUAUAUCUUAUACUUAGAGAAAGAACUUUAGCGAAUUAAGGAAAUUAAAAAUUAUAAUUAUAACCAAAAAAAAUAGAAAUGAUAUAUAUGGAGGAAUAUUUAUUCACUUAAAUAAAUGUAGACUCAUUUUCACUUAAAUAAAUGUAGACUCAUUUUCACUUAAAUAAAUGUAGACUCAUU